rnacentral:tRNA from 1 species
GCCCCAGUGGCCUAAUGGAUAAGGCACUGGGCCUCCUAAGCCAGGGAUUGUGGGUUCAAGUCCCAUCUGGGGUG